AGAUUUUUAAGAGGAAAUUCUCUCAGAGAAGACAGCUGCUAAGUUGUGGGCGAAGUUGGAAAACCUAUAUCUCACCAAAUCCCCCACCAACAGGUUGAGAUUAAAGCAACGUUUGUAUAACCUUCGUAUGGGUGAAGGUAGUUCACUUAAAUCCCAUAUUUCUGAUUUCAAUUCUAUUGUUACUGAUUUGAAAGGAGUAGAUGUAAAAAUUGAUGAUGAAGAUUUAGCUCUGUUAUUGUU